rnacentral:rRNA from 2 species
CUGCCCUUUGUACACACCGCCCGUCGCUACUACCGAUUGAAUGGCUCAGUGAGGCGUCCGGACUGGCCCAGAGAGGUGGGCAACUACCACUCAGGGCCGGAAAGCUCUCCAAACUCGGUCAUUUAGAGGAAGUAAAAGUCGUAACAAGGUCUCCGUUGGUGAACCAGCGGAGGGAUCAUUA